GACGUAAGAGGCGUCGUGCACCCCUUCGAGCGGGACUGCUGAUCACUGAAACAACAGCAAGUGUUGCGACUUUCUCAAAUAGCUGCUUUUUGUGACUAACUUAGAUAUGGCCCUUCAGACUGAAGCGGAUUUACCACCUGGCCUUGCAUGUUUUAAAAAUGUUGAUACCCUGCUUCGGUGUCCCAUUUGCUUCGACUUCCUCAAUAUUUCAAUGAUGACUAAAUGCUCUCACAAUUUUUGCUCCUUGUGCAUCAGAAAAUUUCUUUCCUAUAAGUUGCAGUGUCCAGUUUGCAAUACACAAGCAACAGAACAAGACCUAAGAAAUAACCGUUUAUUGGAUGACUUGGUCGUAAACUUUCAAGCUGCAAGGCAGCAGUUGUCAAAAGUAAAUUUUGACUCUCCUCCAAUAUCACCGAAGACCCCGGCUUCCGCUGUCAAAUGUAAAACUCCCAGAGAUAGGGGCCAGAAGUGUAACAGCUCUGUUUUGAAUCACUUUUUCCAGAAGAGGCCUAAAAUAUCUCCCACUAAAGCAACCAAGCAUUGUGUUCAGCUGGAGAAAAUACAGACUACAUUUACCCCAAAUGCAAAUGACUUACAUUCAGCAACCGCUCAAGUACCAGUGGCUGUGAAGGAAGAGCCGAUAGAUGUGGAGGAGGCCUCCAUCCAGGGUUUGAUGUCAGUCAAACAGGAGGACAUCGCCUCGUACAAUAUCAGCACUGGGGUUGAGAUAGCGCAUUCCUCAUCACCAUCACAAGAAGUAAAGCCCGUAAUCAAAGUGGAGUGCCCUGUGUGUUCUGUAAGCGUGCCACAGCAGUUUAUCAACAAGCAUCUGGACAUGUGUCUGACCAGAGGAGAGAAGAAGGAAAGCUUGAGGAGCUCCCUUGGCAAGGCGAGGCGUCCAAUGGGGAAGCUUGUGUACAACCUGCUUUCCCUGCAGGAGCUGAAGAGGAGGCUGAAGGAAUGCCACCUCUCAGUGCUGGGUUCUCGAGACCAGCUGAUCAAAAGACACCGGGAGUUUGUCCACGUAUACAAUGCUCAGUGUGAUUCUCUAAACCCAAAAUCAGCUGAAGAUAUUGCCAAAGAGCUGGAGGCCAAUGAGAAGAUCAGGAAUCAGCUGCAGGGGAAAGCCAAACCUGUCAUGGUUUUCUCAAAGAGUCUGUCUGAGAAGGAAAUUGAUGAGAUGCAUUCAAAUUACAGGAAGCAGCACAGCAGCGACUUUUCCCGCCUGAUUGCCCAGGUUCGGGGUCGCCUAGAGACCACCCGACAGACUUGUAUCAAACAGAAAGUCAUUGUGGAAGGAGAGGAUACACAAAAAACACACUUUGCAGAUGAAGUUGAAGAAUCAAAAAGUUGCUUUGCGAUGAAGUUAGAAGACAGAGAAACUGAUGAUGAGCCAUCUGCGGAAGGGAUCGAAAUGUCACCCAGCCCCUCUGAUAGUGACGUGUCCAUCAGCAGUUCUAUUUCAGACAUCUUUGGUCCAGAGCCUGCCAGAAACUUCAACUGGCGAUGAAUUAAUAAACCAGUGGCUGCGUUGGUUUGACUGCGCCUGAACGCUCCCAUACAAAGAGACACAGAGAGGACCUCAGUCCAAAAGCAAGCAUCCAGGUUGAGACGAGAUGAUGCAGCUUCAUCGACUUCCCUCGGAAAACGGCGGCGUAAAACGUAAUGAGAGAUGGAGGAGACCGAGAAAGAUCUAUCGCCCACCAAAUCAACACCAAUACACUUUUGACUGACUUUCAAGCAUAUCAAGAAAUUUUUUUUUUUGCACAUUCCUGUUCGGUAUUUCAUGGGAUUUUCCAAAGUUGCACUGUUAAUGUGUCAUGGUAUGAAUAAAUGUUCAGUAUUUUAACAUUUUGUAGUCCUGUGAUCCAUGAUGACCUGUGGCCCCAGAAUUUGAUCAGGUUAGAGGGUAGUAAGAGGGCUAUGACUAUAAUCAUUUGAAUCUGUUUUAAAAACUAUUUAGUAUGGUAGAGAUUUAGUUUCUAUGUGUAGACAUAAGCAGACAUUAUUAUAAUUUCUACUUGUUUCCAGUGUCCCAGUUAAUAUCCAGUCUGUCCCAUCUACUGCUGCUCUUAAUAUUGAAUCCAAGUUAUGUUGUUGUUGUUUUUUCUUUAUUAUCUUAAUCUUUUCUUCAUUUCAUGUUACAUUGUAAUAUGCAGUUUAAACUGAAAUAAACCUGUAGAGGCAUCUGA